rnacentral:tRNA from 1 species
UCCCUCGUAGCUCAGCUGGUAGAGCGGAUGGCUGUUAACCAUCUUGUCACUGGUUCGAAUCCGGUCGGGGGAGCCA